UGAUAAAACUGUACGAUUGGAUGUGUCACGUACGGGCGAGAGAGAGAGAAAUUCGCAGUAGAAGGAGAGCGCGAGCACAGCGGCGAUGGACGCUGAAAGAUAUCGCGUACGGGUGAGGGAGAGACAGAUUCUCAAUAGAGGGAGAUAGCGAGCACCGCGGCGAUGGCGGCCCAAGCAGCAUUUUGACGUCCGCCCGAUAUUAAGAUAAACACACUUAACGUUGGUAUCCAAUGUUUUUGCUACGUCGUUUAGAUUCUCUUUUACACUAAUUUGGGAAAUCAAACUUAAGUUAUACCAACGUUGGAAGCCGACUUAUUUAAGUUAAAUUGAGGUUACAUUUUUUCCACCAGUUUUAAUGUUGGUGUAGCGAGGAUUCGAGUGGGGAAACAAGACGCAAUUGCUAAGGGCCAUAUAUAGAGGUGUCGGUUCUGGACACACAUCAGUCAUUUGGCAGAUCUCAUACAGCACAGAUACAACGGCCCCAGCAGUUUUAUUAUUGCCGUUCGUAGAUUUAAAUUAAUCGUCUUCACCUGAGAAAAUACCGCCUGCCGAGAGGAGAGCCACAGGUAUUCAAAGCCACUGUAAAGUGAUUUCAGUUGAGUUCGCAUCUCCUUUUGUAUCGGACUUACAAGGAAACCUCGCGAAUCUGAAAUUUCUGAUUUUAAUGAAACUUGGCAUAAAUGUAGAGGGGGUAAAUACAUAAAUCUUAAAAAAAAAAAAAAAAA